GAUGAACGCUAGCGGCAGGCCUAAUACAUGCAAGUCGAGGGGCAGCGCGGUAGCAAUACUGGCGGCGACCGGCGCACGGGUGCGUAACACGUAUGCAACCUACCUUCAACUGGAGGAUAGCCCGGGGAAACUCGGAUUAAUACUCCAUAACACAGGGAUCCCGCAUGGGAAUAUUGUUAAAGCUACGGCGGUUGAAGAUGGGCAUGCGUUCGAUUAGCUAGUUGGUGUAGGUAACGGCUCACCAAGGCUACGAUCGAUAGGGGGUCUGAGAGGAUGAUCCCCCACACUGGUACUGAGAUACGGACCAGACUCCUACGGGAGGCAGCAGUAGGGAAUAUUGGUCAAUGGGCGCAAGCCUGAACCAGCCAUGCCGCGUG
rnacentral:rRNA from 1 species